GGAGAGAUGGCUGAGUGGACUAAAGCGACAGAUUGCUAAUCCGUUGUACGAGUGUACCGAGGGUUCGAAUCCCUCUCUCUCCG
rnacentral:tRNA from 1 species